AACGAACGCUGGCGGCAGGCUUAACACAUGCAAGUCGAGCGCCCCGCAAGGGGAGCGGCAGACGGGUGAGUAACGCGUGGGAAUCUACCCAACUCUACGGAAUAACUCAGGGAAACUUGUGCUAAUACCGUAUACGCCCUUCGGGGGAAAGAUUUAUCGGAGUUGGAUGAGCCCGCGUUGGAUUAGCUAGUUGGUGGGGUAAAGGCCUACCAAGGCGACGAUCCAUAGCUGGUCUGAGAGGAUGAUCAGCCACACUGGGACUGAGACACGGCCCAGACUGCGGCGGAAGGCAGCAGUGGGGAAUAUUGGACAAUGGGCGCAAGCCUGAUCCAGCCAUGCCGCGUGAGUGAUGAAGGCCCUAGGGUUGUAAAGCUCUUUCACCGGUGAAGAUAAUGACUGUACCAGCAGAAGAAGCCCCGGCUAACUCCGUGCCAGCCGCCGCAGUAAAAC
rnacentral:rRNA from 1 species